AAAAAAUAAUACCAACUUUUAACCCCUUCAAUUCCCAGAAGGUCCUAACCCCUAAAAAAUCAUUUAAGUGGGUCCUGCUCUGAUUCAUUACCUUUCAUUUGAGCUAUGUCCGGUGUCGAACUUUGCCGUACGGAGCUGGCGAGACUUGCCGAAAGAAUGUACGGUGGACAUGUUAAAAAAAAAAAUAAUACCAACUUUGAACCCCUUCAAUUCCCAGAAGGUCCUAACCCCCAAAAAAUCAUUUAAGUGGGUCCUG